rnacentral:rRNA from 1 species
CGCGUAGGCGGUUGUGUUAGUCAGACGUGAAAUACUUCAGCUCAACUGAAGAAAUGCAUUUGAUACUGCAUAACUAGAGUACAGGAGAGGGAAAUGGAAUUCCCGGUGUAGAGGUGAAAUUCGUAGAUAUCGGGAGGAACACCAGUGGCGAAGGCGAUUUCCUGGCCUGAUACUGACGCUGAGGCGCGAAAGCGUGGGGAGCAAACA